CUUAUGCGUUGUUGGGUAGGGGAGCGUUCUGUAAGCCUGUGAAGGUGUGCUGUGAGGUAUGCUGGAGGUAUCAGAAGUGCGAAUGCUGACAUAAGUAACGAUAAAGCGGGUGAAAAGCCCGCUCGCCGGAAGACCAAGGGUUCCUGUCCAACGUUAAUCGGGGCAGGGUGAGUCGACCCCUAAGGCGAGGCCGAAAGGCGUAGUCGAUGGGAAACAGGUUAAUAUUCCUGUACUUGGUGUUACUGCGAAGGGGGGACGGAGAAGGCUAUGUUGGCCGGGCGACGGUUGUCCCGGUUUAAGCGUGUAGGCUGGUUUUCCAGGCAAAUCCGGAAAAUCAAGGCUGAGGCGUGAUGACGAGGCACUACGGUGCUGAAGCAACAAAUGCCCUGCUUCCAGGAAAAGCCUCUAAGCAUCAGGUAACAUCAAAUCGUACCCCAAACCGACACAGGUGGUCAGGUAGAGAAUACCAAGGCGCUUGAGAGAACUCGGGUGAAGGAACUAGGCAAAAUGGUGCCGUAACUUCGGGAGAAGG
rnacentral:rRNA from 1 species